rnacentral:rRNA from 1 species
GACGAACGCGGCGGCGUGCUUAACACAUGCAAGUCGAACGAUGAUGCGGUGCUUGCACCGUUGAUUAGUGGCGAACGGGUGAGUAACACGUGAGUAACCUGCCCUCUUCUUUGGGAUAACGGUCUGAAAGGGCUGCUAAUACUGAAUAUUCACACGUCUUCGCAUGGGGGUGUGUGGAAAGAGAUGCUUUUGGGUGUUUUUGGUGGGGGAUGGGCUCGCGGCCUAUCAGCCUGUUGGUGGGGUAGUGGCCUACCAAGGCUUUGACGGGUAACCGGCCUGAGAGGGUGACCGGUCACAUUGGGACUGAGAUACGGCCCAGACUCCUACGGGAGGCAGCAGUGGGGAAUUUUGCACAAUGGACGCAAGUCUGAUGCAGCGACGCCGCGUGAGGGAUGUAGGCCUUCGGGUUGUGAACCUCUUUCGCUCAUGGUCAAGCCGCAGCUUUGGGUUGUGGUGAGGGUAGUGGGUAAAGAAGCGCCGGCUAACUACGUGCCAGCAGCCGCGGUAAUACGUAGGGCGCGAGCGUUGUCCGGAAUUAUUGGGCGUAAAGGGCUUGUAGGCGGUUGGUCGCGUCUGCCGUGAAAUCCUCUGGCUUAACUGGGGGCGUGCGGUGGGUACGGGCUGGCUUGAGUGCGGUAGGGGAGACUGGAAUUCCUGGUGUAGCGGUGGAAUGCGCAGAUAUCAGGAGGAACACCGGUGGCGAAGGCGGGUCUCUGGGCCGUUACUGACGCUGAGGAGCGAAAGCGUGGGGAGCGAACAGG